rnacentral:rRNA from 1 species
AUUGAACGCUGGCGGUAUGCUUAACACAUGCAAGUCGAACGGCAGCAUGGUCUAGCUUGCUAGACUGAUGGCGAGUGGCGAACGGGUGAGUAACGCGUAGGAAUAUGCCUUAAAGUGGGGGACAACUUGGGGAAACUCAAGCUAAUACCGCAUAAUUUCUUCGGAAAAAGCUAGGGACCUCUUGGCCUGGCGCUUUAAGA